UAUCCCGUGGUGUAACUGGCAACACGUCAGGUUUUGGUCCUGAAGACUCUAGGUUCGACCCCUAGCGGGAUAA
rnacentral:tRNA from 1 species